rnacentral:rRNA from 1 species
UACGUAGGGGCAAGCGUUGUCCGGAUUUACUGGGCGUAAAGAGCGUGUAGGCGGCCAAACAGGUCCGUUGUGAAAACUGGAGGCUCAACUUCCAGACGUCGACGGAAACCGUGUGGCUAGAGUCCGGAAGAGGAGAGUGGAAUUCCUGGUGUAGCGGUGAAAUGCGCAGAUAUCAGGAAGAACACCAAUGGCGAAGGCAGCUCUCUGGGACGGUACUGACGCUGAGACGCGAAAGCGUGGGGAGCGAACAGG